rnacentral:rRNA from 1 species
UUGGACGGCCAUAGGGGCCUGGUCCUACUGGUACUCAUUUCGAACACCAAAGUCAAGCAGGCUUCCGUUCCUGGGUGUACUGUUCUUCGAACGGGAAACCAGGAAAGCUGUCCGCC